CGGUUGAUCCUGCCGGACCCGACUGCUAUCAGAGUGAGAUUAAGCCAUGCGAGUCAACGUAGCAAUACGUGGCAUACGGCUCAGUAACACGUAGUCAACAUAACCAAAGGACGUGGAUAAACUCGGGAAACUGAGGCUAAACCGCGAUAGACCAAGAUACCUGGAAUGGUUUUUGAUUAAAAUCUAUAUGGCCUUUGGAUUGGACUGCGUCCGAUCAGGCUGUUGGUGAGGUAAUGGCCCACCAAACCUAUAACCGGUACGGGCUCUGAGAGGAGGAGCCCGGAGAUGGGUACUGAGACAAGGACCCAGGCCCUAUGGGGCGCAGCAGGCGCGAAACCUCUGCAAUAGGCGAAAGCUUGACAGGGUUACUCUGAGUGACUUUCGCUAAGAAAGUCUUUUGACACCUCUAAAAAUGGUGUAGAAUAAGGGGUGGGCAAGUCUGGUGUCAGCCGCCGCGGUAAUACCAGCACCCCGAGUGGUCGGGACGAUUAUUGGGCCUAAAGCAUCCGUAGCCGGCCUUACAAGUCCCCCGUUAAAUCCAACUGCUUAACAGAUGGGCUGCGGAGGAUACUAUAAGACUAGGAGGCAGGAGAGGCAAGCGGUACUCAGUGGGUAGGGGUAAAAUCCGUUGAUCCAUUGAAGACCACCAGUGGCGAAGGCGGCUUGCCAGAAUGCGCUCGACGGUGAGGGAUGAAAGCUGGGGGAGCAAACCGGAUUAGAUACCCGGGUAGUCACAGCUGUAAACGAUGCAGACUCGGUGAUGGACUAGCUUAAUGCUAGUCCAGUGCCGCAGGGAAGCCGUUAAGUCUGCCGCCUGGGUAGUACGGUCGCAAGAC
rnacentral:rRNA from 1 species